CUCUGGGAAGUGAGUGUGGAAGAAAACUGCAGUUCUCUCGUAAUUCCUUGAGGUUAGGAAAGUGCGGAUUUCCUAGGAGUAAAUUGAUGUUACUGGGGCUGAACCGAGAGCCUUGUGCAUGCCUGGCAGGUGCUCUACCCGAGCUACACCAAGCCUGUUUUAAGGCAUUUCACCAGUUUAAAGCAGGCUUACGUGUGUAUUUUUGAUUUUUUACUAUUUUUCACAGUACUAGGGACUGAACUUGGGCAUACUCCUAACACCAAACUGCGUCCCAGCCCUGUGUUUUUAAGACAAGGUCUUGGUAACUGGCACAGUCUGGCUUUGAACCUGCACUCCUCUUGCCUCAGCCUGCCGAGUAGAAGAGUAUACAGCCAUGUACCAAGCCUGGCUAAUUUUGCUAAAAAUUAAAAUUUACUUAAAAGUA